rnacentral:rRNA from 1 species
AAAUUAAGAAUUAUAAAUAUUUAUAUAAGUUAGAUCCUAGCUUAGAAUGAACGCUUAAGACGUACUUUAACACAUGCUAAUUAAAUUUAAAAUAAAUAUAUUAUUAUUUAAAUUAGUGUAGAGGUGAGUAAUGAAUAAAAUUAAAAUUGUAAAUUAAGAAUAUAUAUAUAUAAACAAAAAUUUAUAUAUACUAAUUCUUUAUAAGUGCUUUUAUAUGUGCUACAAAAAUUUUUAUUUAUAAAUUAAUUUUAUUUUUGAUUAGCUAUUUAAUAUUAAAAAUUAAUAUUAAGGCAAAGAUCAAUAACUGGCCUGAGAGGGUAUACAGUCACAUCAGAAUUGAGAUAAAAUCUGAAUUUCUAUAGAGAGAGCAGCAGUGGGGAAUAUUCUACAAUUAGUGAAAACUAGAUAGAGUGACGUCGUGUGAAAAAGAAGACAUAAAAUGUAAAUUUCUGUAAAUAGUUCUAAAAUAAGUGAUCGAAUUAUAAGAAAAUAUCGGCUAACUCUGUGCCAGCAGCCGCGGUAAUACAGAGGAUAUAAGCGUUAUUCACAAUUAUUGGGCAUAAAGCAUCCUUAGAUUGUUUAUUAUAUUAUAUUAAAAAUUUAAAAAUAAUAUUUUUAAACAUUAACUUUAAUAUUAAUAAACUUUGAGAGUAAAAUAAGUUUGAGGAAUUUUUUGAGUAAUGGUGAAAUAUUAUUUCUAUACAUUAAGGAAGGCCAGAAACGAAAGUAUUAAACUAGUUUAUAUCUGACAUUGGAGGAUGAAAGCUAAAGUAGCGAAUGGGAUUAGAUACCCCAGUAGUUUUAGCUGUAAAUAAUGAAUAUUAAAAUUUAGAAAUAAUAUUUUUAAAUUUAAAGUUAAUACGUUAAAUAUUCCGCCUGAAUAGUACAUUCGCAAGAGUUAAAUUCAAAGGAACUGACGGGAACUUAUACAAGUGAUGAGCCAUGUUGUUUAAUUUGAUGCAGCCCAAAAAAUCUUACCAAUAUUUGACAUAAUUAAAUAAUUUUUCUUAUAUAAAAAUGUUAAUUAAUCUUAAGGUGGUGCAUGGUUGUCGUCAGCUAGUGCUGUGAAGUAAAUUAAAAUAUUUUAAACUAGCGUAACCCUUAUUUAUAUAUUUAUAUAAUAUAAUAAGGACGAUGUCAAAUCUUUAUGCCCCUUAUGUAUUGGGCUAUUAGCGUGGCGCAAUGAUAAGCACAAAUGUAAAAACAUAUUUAUUAAAUUUUAUAAAAAAUUUAUAAAUAUAUUUUUAAUUUAAAUUUUAUCUCAGUACGAUAUAUAAAUUGAAAUUUAUUUAUAUAAAGUAGUAACCACUAGUAAUCGUUAGUCAUCUAUAUAACGGUGAAUAUGUAAUUAAGUUUUGUACACACCGCCCGUCGCAUCCUGAAAAUGAAUUGAGUUUAAAUUAUUUUAUAAAUAAUAAAUACUUAAUUAGUGAUUAGGAUGAAGUCGUAACAAGGUAGCCGUACUGGAAAGUGUGGCUAGAUAUUAUCAAUAAUUUUUUUGGUUGUAGUUUUAAACAUUGAUUUGAUCUAAAAUUUUAAUUAAUAUGAGUUAUAAAUAACAUUAAUAUCCACUAGAAUUUAAUUGUUAAUUAUAAUAAAUCAAAUAAUAAUAUUAUUAACUCAAAUUAAUAAUAAUAUAUUUUAAAAUUAAAGAU